rnacentral:rRNA from 1 species
UACAGAGGUCUCAAGCGUUGUUCGGAUUCAUUGGGCGUAAAGGGCGCGUAGGCGGGCCUGAAAGUCAAGGGUGAAAGCCCCCGGCUCAACCGGGGAAGUGCCCCUGAUACUUCAGGCCUCGAGGGAGGUAGGGGCGUGCGGAACUUCCGGUGGAGCGGUGAAAUGCGUAGAUAUCGGAAGGAACACCGGUGGCGAAGGCAGCUCGCUGGGACGGUACUGACGCUGAGACGCGAAAGCGUGGGAGCAACAG